rnacentral:misc_RNA from 1 species
GAAAUGCGAUAAGUAAUGUGAAUUGCAGAAUACUGUGAGUCAUCAAAUCCUUGAACGCAAAUGGCGCCUGUUAGCUCUCUAACAGGCACUCCUGUUUGAGUGUCGUUUUACCUUACUCAAAAAAGAAACUUCAAACCUUUCUUUUUUUGGAUGAUGAGUGUUCAAAAUGUUCUUUCCCCCCUCACACCCUCUCUUUAUGGUCGGGGCACGGGGGGGUGGAAUUUUAUUAUUGAUCACUUGAAAUAUACACAAAAAAGGUGGGGCAAUUUUCCUUCCUAAAAUUAAUUUUUAUCCCCAAGUGAAUUUGGAGAAUCACCUUCGUUUUUCUUGAGGAUUCAAUAAAUAAUUUUAAGGAGCUAGAAAACCAACCACAUCAGGAACAAAAAUUUAACCAAAAUCGACCUCAAAUCAGGUGAGAAUACCCGCUGAACUUAA